rnacentral:rRNA from 1 species
UACGUAGGAUGCGAGCGUUAAUCGGAAUUACUGAGCGUAAAGCGUGCGCAGGCGGUUAUAUAAGACAGAUGUGAAAUCCCCGGGCUCAACCUGGGAACUGCAUUAGUGACUGUAUAGCUGGAGUGCGGCAGAGGGGGAUGGAAUUCCGCGUGUAGCAGUGAAAUGCGUAGAUAUGCGGAGGAACACCGAUGGCGAAGGCAAUCCCCUGGGCCUGCACUGACGCUCAUGCACGAAAGCGUGGGGAGCAAACAGG